rnacentral:rRNA from 1 species
UACGGGGGGGGCAAGCGUUGUUCGGAAUUACUGGGCGUAAAGGGCUCGUAGGUGGCCAACUAAGUCGGACGUGAAAUCCCUCGGCUUAACCGGGGAAGUGCGCUCGAAACUGCGAAGCUCGAGUACCGGAGAGGAUGGCGGAAUGCCCCAAGUAGAGGUGAAAUUCGUAGAUAUGGGGCGGAACACCGGUGGCGAAGGCGGCCAUCUGGACGGAUACUGACGCUGAGACGCGAAAGCGUGGGUAGCAAACAGG